rnacentral:lncRNA from 1 species
CCGAGCUGCAGUCGCCGCCGCCGCUGCCGCUGUCACUGUCAGAGCCUGUCCGAAGAGUGACACCUUCGCGAAAAACAGGAGCUGUGAAACAUUUGCACAAGCAGUCUUCGGAUCCCAGGUCCCCAUUCAUGAGCCCGAGGCUGUGAGACAUGCUCCAUGUGCCAAGGGGAGUUCUCACCAAAUCUUCUGAGGCUGUCCUAGACGUACACUGUUCGGUCUGAGUCAGCAUUACCAGCUUAUCCAAGAGGAGUACUAUCAUAUUCAUUAACAACGUCGAAAGUAGCCUACUUUAAGAGAAAAUAUGCAGAAGAAGAAGAUUUACAUCAAGAUUACCAGGGGUAUUUUCCAAAACACCUGAUAUUACCCGAAGACAGGACUUGUAUCCUCAAACUUUCUCUGGAGAAGCUCAGGUUUCUUGAAGACCCAGAAACCUACCUAAGAAGGUCUGUGUUAAUUAAUAAUUUGCUGAGGAAGAUACACCUAGAGACGGAGAAAGAGAGUUAUGAAUACUUCAAGGAAGCUCCCUGCUAUAAGACUGCUUAUUCUGAUACAAGAAAACGGCUGAAGUUUAUGGUACAGGAGUGCUGUUCCCAGUCUCUCUACUAUGAAGAGCUGCAUUCCUACCACAUUGUGCCUUACACUUCGGAGAAUGCCAUCUAUGGGAUGGGCUACACUGGUGACCACUUGGAGCAAAAUUCUCAGUUGCUCAUUUAUAAAAUGAAUUAAAGUAACUGUUAAGUUCA